GUUUAAAUACUUAUGCACGUUAGUGUACGUAAUGAUUCAAUCGUAGGACGAAAUACGGACUUUUAACGUUAAUUUCCUUGUUUGAAUGCUGAUUGCGUUCUUGGCAGUAUUCUUCGAGAAUCGCAAUUGUUUAAAAUAUCAAAGCGUGAUAUUAACAGUGCACAGAAAUUUUUGAGUUCCGAGAUUGAUCGAUACAUAUAUCGAUUAACAUAUUGACGAGAUAACUAAAAAUCGAUCAUCUUUAUCGAUCUUCUUAUCGUCAUUUGCAAUCCUCGAGCCGAUUGAAACGCGGGAAGCAACGUAGAGCAAGUUCAAGCGUACAUAAUGUUAUCGGGCUAUUCGAUCGUGCGAGGUUAAAGAUGCAAGGAGAGUCCUAGGUUAGGCUAAUGAGAUCGUAAACCAUAGAAGGUCGAUGUCAUAUGGUCAAUUCUAUUGUCAACAAUAAUAAAAGAGGCGAUAAUAUAUUAAUACGUAUAUCAUAUUGAAGAAAAUUAGUAAAAGACGUUAUAAAAAUUACUUUAAACAUUAACAAUUACUGACAUCAUACGGGGCGGGGCCGUUGCAGUGCAUCGAAAGAGAAAUUUUUCCGGCGGUUGUUGGCCCAGCCCCACGACGAACGGAUACUAGGGUGUUUCCCACAUGAAUGGCAGAGCAGUGGAGGCACAUUGCAAGCAAGCUGCAGCGCUGCAGUAGGCCUGUGGGCCAAGGUUCUCUCUCUCUCCCUUUUCUUCCUCUCUUCCGUACUCCUUUCUACUUGCUUUUUGUCUUGGAUAUUCUCUUUAUCUCGACUACUUUUACAGAUGAAAAACUGCUUGCAACCAGGAACGAAUCAACAAUCACGACUAGGAAGUUGCGGAAACUUUAAAAUGAGAAGUCACCCAAUCAGCUGAAAUGGCAAUUAGCCAGACCACCUCAUAUUUCAGUUUUGUUUAAUUGUUUAGCACGAUACGUUUUAUUUCCCGGAUGCAGAUGCACUCGUGGUCCCC